AAUAACCUUAUUUUUCAUUUUUUCGUGUCUAACGUUUGACCAUUCGUUUUAUUUGAAAUUUUUUUGCAAUUAAUAUUUUUAUUGUUACUAGAUGAUAAAAUAUAAAUAGUACUUUAUACGUGACUAUUUUUUAAAAGCUUUUUUACAAAUUUUCUAAAUAAGACGAAUGGUCAAACGCUGGACACAGAAAAAC
rfam:Oryza brachyantha chromosome 12, whole genome shotgun sequence.